UAAGACGAACCGUACAAACGUUAUUCGGAAUCACUGGGCUUAAAGGGUGCGUAGGCGGUCCGUUAAGUUGGGUGUGAAAUACCUCGGCUCAACCGAGGAAUAGCGCCCAAAACUGGCGGACUUGAGGGAGACAGAGGUGAGUGGAACUUAGGGUGGAGCGGUGAAAUGCGUUGAUAUCCUAAGGAACACCAGUGGCGAAAGCGACUCACUGGGUCUCUUCUGACGCUGAGGCACGAAAGCUAGGGGAGCGAACGGG
rnacentral:rRNA from 1 species